rnacentral:rRNA from 1 species
GAUGAACGCUGGCGGCGUGCCUAAUACAUGCAAGUCGAGCGAACGGACGAGAAGCUUGCUUCUCUGAUGUUAGCGGCGGACGGGUGAGUAACACGUGGAUAACCUACCUAUAAGACUGGGAUAACUUCGGGAAACCGGAGCUAAUACCGGAUAAUAUUUUGAACCGCAUGGUUCAAAAGUGAAAGACGGUCUUGCUGUCACUUAUAGAUGGAUCCGCGCUGCAUUAGCUAGUUGGUAAGGUAACGGCUUACCAAGGCAACGAUGCAUAGCCGACCUGAGAGGGUGAUCGGCCACACUGGAACUGAGACACGGUCCUGACUACUACGGGAGGCAGCAGUAGGGAAUCUUCCGCAAUGGGCGGAAGCCUGACGGAGCAACGCCGCGUGAGUGAUGAAGGUCUUCGGAUCGUAAAACUCUGUUAUUAGGGAAGAACAUAUGUGUAAGUAACUGUGCACAUCUUGACGGUACCUAAUCAGAAAGCCACGGCUAACUACGUG